rnacentral:rRNA from 1 species
ACGGGUGAGUAACGCGUGGGUAACCUGCCUCAUACAGGGGGAUAACAGUUAGAAACAGGUGCUAAUACCGCAUAACAGUUUAUGCCGCAUGGCAUAAGAGUGAAAGGCGCUUUCGGGUGUCGCUGAUGGAUGGACCCGCGGUGCAUUAGCUAGUUGGUGAGGUAACGGCUCACCAAGGCCACGAUGCAUAGCCGACCUGAGAGGGUGAUCGGCCACACUGGGACUGAGACACGGCCCAGACUCCUACGGGAGGCAGCAGUAGGGAAUCUUCGGCAAUGGACGAAAGUCUGACCGAGCAACGCCGCGUGAGUGAAGAAGGUUUUCGGAUCGUAAAACUCUGUUGUUAGAGAAGAACAAGGACGUUAGUAACUGGACGUCCCCUGACGGUAUCUAACCAGAAAGCCACGGCUAACUACGUGCCAGCAGCCGCGGUAAUACGUAGGUGGCAAGCGUUGUCCGGAUUUAUUGGGCGUAAAGCGAGCGCAGGCGGUUUCUUAAGUCUGAUGUGAAAGCCCCCGGCUCAACCGGGGAGGGUCAUUGGAAACUGGGAGACUUGAGUGCAGAAGAGGAGAGUGGAAUUCCAUGUGUAGCGGUGAAAUGCGUAGAUAUAUGGAGGAACACCAGUGGCGAAGGCGGCUCUCUGGUCUGUAACUGACGCUGAGGCUCGAAAGCGUG